CGUCCGAUGUCCUCUUGCAUCGAGAUGACUGUUAUUGUCCUGGCAGGACUUUCUGGGCUGUGGGAAGCAGAGGUUCAGGUUGGGCAAGAUGUCUGGCCAGGGUAGAUCCAAAGAUCUUUCCCGAAAGGUUUGUGCACUUACCGAUGGGAUGUCAGAUAGCCAGAGCCACCUCAGGCCAUCUGUGCAUUUGCCGUGUCUGGGUGUCUUUCUGGGUAUGAGGACAGUAGAUGUGUGCAGGCAUCCUGUGUUGGAAAGUGUUCAUCUGUUUUCUGUCCCCUCCCCCCACUCCUCAUUGGUAGGAUCAGAGUCAAAGCUGGUCCGUAUUGGAAAAGAACUCUGGAGUGGUACACGCAUCACGCAUACUGUCGCUUCUUGUCCCUUGGCCUUUGCUAAUCAAUUCUGAUGCAUUCAGUCUUCCCACGGAGCUCAGAGCGAGGCACUACUAAUCAGUAUAGGUAAAGCGUCCCGCCUCUUACUAUGUGGACUAAAAACCCAUUACUCAGAGUAGGCAAAUGACCCAUGGGGCGGCACAGACUUCUCCCCUGCCAGGAGGCCGGUUGCUAAGAUGGGCCCUGGAGUUUUGGUGUUGGGCUGGUGAGAUAGCGUCAGUUGGCAGUGUGAUUGGUGUGCAAGGAUGAGGACCUGGGUUGGAGCCCCAGCACCCACAUGCAAAAGCCUGAGCCUGGCAUCUGUAAUCCCAGCACCAGGAAGAAACAGGGAGAUCCUUGAGGCUCUCUUGGCCAGCUGGUCUACCAGAUUGCUUCAAUGAGAGACCUUCCCUCAAAAAAAAAAAAAAAAAA
rnacentral:lncRNA from 1 species